GACGAACGCUGGCGGCGUGCCUAAUACAUGCAAGUAGAACGCUGAAGGAGGAGCUUGCUUCUCUGGAUGAGUUGCGAACGGGUGAGUAACGCGUAGGUAACCUGCCUGGUAGCGGGGGAUAACUAUUGGAAACGAUAGCUAAUACCGCAUAAUAUUGACUAUUGCAUGAUAGUCAGUUGAAAGGUGCAACUGCACCACUACCAGAUGGACCUGCGUUGUAUUAGCUAGUUGGUGGGGUAACGGCUCACCAAGGCGACGAUACAUAGCCGACCUGAGAGGGUGAUCGGCCACACUGGGACUGAGACACGGCCCAGACUCCUACGGGAGGCAGCAGUAGGGAAUCUUCGGCAAUGGACGGAAGUCUGACCGAGCAACGCCGCGUGAGUGAAGAAGGUUUUCGGAUCGUAAGGCUCUGUUGUAAGAGAAGAACGAGUGUGAGAGUGGAAAGCUCACACUGUGACGGUAUCUUACCAGAAAGGGACGGCUAACUACGUG
rnacentral:rRNA from 1 species